CCCUUUCUCUACCGUUCUCUCUACUGCUGUGGUUUGGAUAGGCGUGGCCAUGGGUUAGGCAAGGGAGAGCACUGGAGAACGCGGCAAUCUACUGGACCUCGUCAUGUACGGCAGCUAGCUGUUGUGGCGACGGGUCUGGAGGUUGGUGGCGCUGAGGAGGCGGUGACGCAUCUGACGGAGGGCACACUGGUUCGCUGAGUUCCCGGAUGAACUCGUGCAUGCUGAUCUUCCAAGCCGGUUGUACCAAAUCGAGUGGGCUGCAAGUGCGUUGUCUUGGAGGCCAUUCCUGACCGAGGCAUGGUCCGCGCGGUCAAGCUACUGCUGUUGCGCCGGUCACCAGGGAGACCGCAUCUUGCGUCGCUAAUCUGGAAACGCAGAUGCCGGUCACCGGGGAGGUCACGGGUGCGGGGACAGAGAACUUUGGCGUCGCGUUGAAAGGCAUGUUGUUACUUUUUUGUCCCAGGCUAAGGAAGAGCAACAGGUAUGAUUCUCUUUGUAAACUCCCACAUCAUUUGUUCUUCAUAAGGUGAUUUACUUAUACUUUGUUAAAGUAAAUUAAAAGAUUUGGUUUCUUUGACCCCUUACUACUUGCUUUUGAACUGAAUGAAGUAAUAUUUGACUGAAGACCGGCUUGUGUGGUUGAUGUGCUAUAUUUCUGUGCGAUACAGUGUGUUAAUUACUGUUCCUUGAUAUGCUUGAGAUGCAAAGUUUUCCUCAAAUAUGACUGAAAGUGUUGAUGUAGUGCUGGACGUGGUAACUAUCUAAAGGCUUAGCCGUUCACAGUUUUUUUUUUUGAAAUAACCAUUUGCAGACUAUUUAAUAGCACAACAGAAUGGAAUUUGUAUCUCUCGUUGAUACUGAGUAGAAAUCGUAUUCUUAUCGAUUAAGGUAUUAGAAAAAGGAAACUGAACCAACUCUGCGUGAACCAUGUAUAUCAAUUCUAAUGGGAUGGUAUAGGCCCUAGGGUUGUGAUGCUGGACCAUUUUUGUCACCUAGAAAACUACCGGUUUGUAUCAUUUUUCUCAAGUGAAACAUCCUGUACAUGUGACCUACAUAUAACACUAACGGGCUAUUGGCUAGGUCUUGUCGCCGGCGAACUUCAAUCUCGUUGCCGGCAACCACACAAUUGAUCCACGAUGAACCACCGCUCCUCUUCUCUAUUUUGUUCGUCUCCUUGAUCCAGGAUGUAGAUUGAGGCGCUACUGCAGUUGCAGCGCGGACUACUUGGCGCGGUGGUUCUCAUGUGUUAGAGCAUACGUUAUUUUCCGGGGUGCUGCAACUGCCCGUGCACAAGUUCGGGAUACUAGGGGUUAGAGCAUACGUUAUUUUCUUCAGUGGACAUUCAACCCAACUUAAAAUAUUGUUCCUUCAACACUUCCGUAGCAUGCAUGAUCAAUCAGUGAAGAAAAUUACGAAGGGUGGGGUGUGGCAGAGAAUAAUGGCUGGCUAAUGGAGAAUGGUUGGAUCUGAGGCACAUGACAAAGAGGGCACUGCGUCUAUGGUCCAUGAGAGGCAUGGGUAACGGAGGCAGAUUCAUAUGAGGAGAUCAUGGGAUAAAUAAAUAACAGCAAAAUGUGAGCAGCGUGUGCAGGCGGCCUCUGAGUUGUUGCCCUCAUUGCUAGUGAUGCUGGAUUCCUACCAAAUGUCUCAGAGACUCGUUAUCCAGGAAGAGUGAUGAUAGCAUACAUUGGAACUCGUACCUGAUUUCUCCGGAUUCAUGUAUCACUCUAGUAAGUUCUUGUAAUGUUCUCCGCCUAUAAAACAUUUGUUCUUCUAGUGUUCCUUGAGUACUAUAUCUAUGCUGACCUUUUUAGUGAAAUUAUUUCUGCCGAGUGCCUAUGUGGAUUAAAUAAGAAUGGUUGAUCUUUGCUUCAGCUUGACUUUGAUGCAAGUACACUUAAGUUUUUAUCACAAUCAUUAUAAAUAUAAUAAGAGGUGCAGAUAUUUUUGUUGGCAUUGAAGGAUGUCAUGGAUCGGUUGCCUUCCUGGACCUCACAAUGUUGUUGCCUUCAAAACUAUCUUAAAAAGUAUUUGUUUACAGUGUAUGUAUGAAAGCUUAUUACAAAUUUAGACAUUUUUGUAGGAGAUUAGAAAUAGAAAUGAAGACUUGUUCAGAUGGAAACAUCUAAACACACAUGAGUCAGCAAAGAUAUUACCUAAAUUAAUUUGAUGGCUUGUUGUCUGCCUUCUUUUGAUGCUGGGUGCCAAGACGGCAAGACGUCACAGGAGCGUACUGGAUGCAUCGUGUCUUUGAUCCUCCGGCAUGACGGAAAGCAUACUGGAUAGCCUGCAGUCAUGGUUUCGAUCUACCGGGCGUUCGAGCAUAGCUUGUGUGUUCAAACCCAUCAUGUUUCAGCGCAUGCAUUGGGUGUUUUCUCUCCUUCAUGUGUUACGACAUCCUUGUAUAAUUGUGUUUGUAGAUGCCUAUGCUUGAAAGAAAUCAAUCAAGCCAUAUGAAAAUCAAGUAGAAAAUAAUUGACCAGAUUGUACUUUGCCUUUGAUAGACGUGCACGUGACGGACUUGUAUACAUCUAUCUAGGCAGGUUGACUGGUUCUAGUACAUGGAUGCCUAUA